rnacentral:rRNA from 1 species
UACAGAGGGUGCGAGCGUUGUCCGGAAUCACUGGGCGUAAAGGGCGCGUAGGCGGUCUGCUAAGCGUGUGGUGAAAGCUCGGGGCUCAACCCCGAGUCGGCCAUGCGAACUGGUGGACUGGAGCAUGUCAGAGGCAGGCGGAAUUCCGGGUGUAGCGGUGGAAUGCGUAGAGAUCCGGAAGAACACCGGUGGCGAAGGCGGCCUGCUGGGACAUUGCUGACGCUGAGGCGCGACAGCGUGGGGAGCAAACAGG